rnacentral:rRNA from 1 species
AUUGAACGCUGGCGGCAGGCCUAACACAUGCAAGUCGAACGAGUGGCGGACGGGUGAGUAAUGUCUGGGAAACUGCCCGAUGGAGGGGGAUAACUACUGGAAACGGUAGCUAAUACCGCAUACCAUCGGAUGUGCCCAGAUGGGAUUAGCUUGUAGGUGAGGUAACGGUUCACCUAGGCGACGAUCCCUAGCGGGUCUGAGAGGAUGACCAGCCACACUGGAACUGAGACACGGUCCAGAGUCCUACGGGAGGAACCAGUGGGUAAUUGUGGACAAUGGGCGCAAUCCGGAUGCAGCCAGGCGCCGUGAAUGAAGAAGUCCUUCGGGUUGUAAAGUACUUUCAGCGGGGAGGCGUUACCCGAAGAAGAAGCACCGGCUAACUCCGGGCCAGCAGCCGCGGUAAUAC